AAUCCCAAGCAGUUUCUGCAGAGCCUGAUGCGGGGCUCGAACUCACGAAACCGUGAGAUCAAGACUGGAGCUGAGACCAAGAGUCGGACGCUUAACCCACUGAGCCGCCCAGGCACCCCUCAAAUUAGGAUUUCAGUCACCUCACUGGCGUUGCAGGACGGACAGCCACUGCGGCACAGUGACUGGGCCACGCAGGCACACCGGUUCCUCAGAAACCCUCCAGAAAACAUCUGAGCGGGAAUAGCAUCCUGUGCGACUUCAGAGAAGAACCUUGGACUUCCUCAAACCUCAUUAUGGCUGAGAAUGAGCUCACCAGAGAUCCAGGAACUAAAGCCACAUCAGAUGUUUAUUUUAAGGAGCUAGAGAAACAUCUAAGUCCACGCACCAAAGGAGACAGUCCCCGGUGUCAGGGGGAAACACCGGACGAGACGGCCGCUCCAUAAAUCUUGCCGCACGGUGUUUGCGCGCAUCCUCGCGGGUUAGAAGCAGCAUUCGACCGAGAGAGUCUGUUGAGUGAAACAUCACCAGCUCCCGUUUGACCAAAAAUGGCUACAGAUAAACAAGUCUCAUCCCUGGCAGGAUGCGGCUCCGUCUGGCAAAUGUUUAUCAAGCGCCAGCUGUGUUCCAGGGAUGCAGAGGCGGAGAGCCACGGCCCGUGGCCCCUGGUAGCCCCCGGGUACGCCGGGAAAGGACACUCUGGGUCAUCGAUGGGAAGGAGGCAGUGCCUUCG